UACGUAGGGUGCAAGCGUUAAUCGGAAUUACUGGGCGUAAAGCGUGCGCAGGCGGUUAUGUAAGACAGGUGUGAAAUCCCCGGGCUUAACCUGGGAACUGCAUUUGUGACUGCAUAGCUAGAGUACGGUAGAGGGGGAUGGAAUUCCGCGUGUAGCAGUGAAAUGCGUAGAUAUGCGGAGGAACACCGAUGGCGAAGGCAGGUCUCUGGGCUGACACUGACGCUCAUGCACGAAAGCGUGGGGAGCAAACAGG
rnacentral:rRNA from 1 species